GCAGUGGCAGUCGGGACCCAGCAUGAACAUGAGGGCCCCCAUGCAGCUCCUCAGGCUCUUGCUGCUCUGGCUCCCAGGUGCCAGCUGUGCCAUCCAGAUGACCCAGUCUCCAGCCUCCCUGGCUGCAUCUCUAGGAGACACAGUCUCCAUCACUUGCCGGGCCAGUCAGAGUGUUAGCAAUAAUUUAGCCUGGUAUCAACAACAAGCAGGGAAGGCUCCUAAGCUCCUCAUUUACUGGGCCUCCGCUUUGCAAAGUGGAGUCCCUUCCCGGUUCAAGGGCAGUGUAUCUGGCACAGAUUUCACCCUCACCAUCAGUGGCCUGCAGGCUGAAGAUGUUGCAACUUAUUCUUGUCAGCAGCUUAACAGUGCACCUCCCACAGUGUUACAGGCCAGCACAAACCCCCCCCUCCCCGGGGAAGCAGAUGUGUGAGGCUGGCCACCCCAGCUGCUCUUGGUGCCUCCAACCGCUGAGAGCAUUUCUCAGACCACACUAGAAGGUCAUGGCAAGUUUUUGCUAGAAGGGCCAGGGAAUAUUGUGUGCAGAAUUCAAGUGGGUAUUGUUUUCAAGUUUGGGAGAAAAACAUGAUAGGACUUUUCUUUCUGUAUGCAACCACUGGCGUGUCCCCACAAUGGCUGUACCAUGUUGCAUCCCCACCAGCAAUGAAUA